ensembl:lncRNA
AUGGAGGGAUGGAUGCAUGGAUGGAUGAAUGGACAGAUGGAUGGACAGAUGGACAGGUGGAGGGAUGGACAGACGGACACGAGGCCCUCGGUGCCCUCAAUGGGGGAGGAAGGUUGGCCAACGCUCUACGGGCGGUGUUGGAGUUCCGGUAGGCCUAAAAUGGGGUGAAAAAGGCCAAAAUUGGGGGCUUUUGGGGUGGGUUUGGCACCAAAACGACGUCGGUUGGGUGUCGUGGUCUCUUCCGUGGCCAAAAUGGGGCAAAAAAACCCAAAUUUGGGCACUUUUGAGGUGUGUUUGCCACCAAAAUGAUGUCGGUUGGGUCUUCCUUCUUCCCGUUGGCCAAAAUGGGUCCAAAAACCCCAAAUUUGGGCACUUCUGAGGUGUGUUUUCCCCCCAAAUACCACCAGUUGGGUCUACUUUCUUCCCGUUGGCCAAAAUGGGUCAAAAAAUCCCAAAAUAGGGCACUUUUGGGGGGUGUUUUCCCCCCAAACACCACCAGUUGGGUCUCCCUUCUUCCCGUUGGCCAAAAUGGGUCCAAAAACCCCAAAAUUGGGCACUUUUGAGGUGUGUUUUCCCCCCAAAUCACCACCAGUUGGGUCUCCCUACUUCCCGUUGGCCAAAAUAGGUCAAAAAAACCCCAAAUUGGGCACUUUUGGGGUGUUUUCCCCCCCAAACCCCACACAUUGGAUCUCCCAACACCACCAGUUGGCUCUACCAUCUUUCAUUGGCCAAAAUGGGUCAAAAAACCCCAAAAUUGGGCACUUUUGGGGGGUGUUUUCCCCCCAAACACCACCAGUUGGGUCUCCCUUCUUCCCGUUGGCCAAAAUGGGUCCAAAAACCCCAAAAUUGGGCACUUUUGGGGUGUUUUCCCCCCCAAACCCCACACAUUGGAUCUCCCAACACCACCGGUUGGGUCUCCCAUCUUUCAUUGGCCAAAAUGGGUCCAAAAACCCCAAAUUUAGGCACUUUUGAGGUGUGUUUUCCCCCCAAAUCACCACCAGUUGGGUCUCCCAUCUUUCAUUGGCCAAAAUGGGUCCAAAAACCCCAAAUUUGGGCACUUUUGAGGUGCGUUUUCCCCCCAAAUCACCACCAGUUGGGUCUCCCAUCUUUCAUUGGCCAAAAUGGGUCAAAAAACCCCAAAAUUGGGCACUUUUGGGGUGUUUUCCCCCCCCAAAGUCCCCCCACCCGGUUGGGGGCAGCCAUGAGAACCGCUUGGGUUGGAGCCGCCCCAUUCAACCCCAUUAUGGGGUUGGGGGGGGUCUCAAUUCUGUGCCCCCCACCCCAAUAUAUCCCCUAUAUCCUCCCCCCCCCCCUCCCCCCAACCCCAAACCUGAGGAUUUUGGGGGUAUUUUGGGGGUCAUUUUGAGGGUUUUCUGCCCCGGAAUGAACUCCGGAUUUAACUUAAAUUAAAACUUCUAUUCUCAAUUUCACAUUGACCCCAAAUUGCCUUUUCUUCACCCAUUUCUGAGUCUGAAAAGUGGUGGUUUUUGUUCACCGAACCCACUGUUUUAAUGCCUCAAACCCCCAUUUUUCACCCCAAAAUCCCCUCUAAACCCCCAUUUUUCACCCCCCAUCCCCUCAAAAACUCCCCAAACCCCCAUUUUUCACCCCAAAAUCCCCUCAAAAGCCCCAUUUUCCACCCCAAAACCACCCCAAAAUCCCCUCCAAACCCCCACAGCCCCCAUUUUCCACCCCAAAACCCCCCCAAACCGCCAUUUUCCUACCCCAGAAUCCCCAUUUUCCACCCCAAAACCACCCCAAAAUCCCCUCUAAACCCUCAAACCCCCCAAUUUCCACCCCAAACCCCCAUUUUUCACCCCAAAACCUCCCCCGAACCCCCCAUUUCCCACCCAAAAAUCCCCCAAACCCCAAUUUCUACCCCAAAACCCCCCACAACCCACCCAUUUUCCACCCCAAAACCACCCCAAAAUCCCUUCCAAACCCUCAACCCCCCCAAUUUCCACCCCAAACCCCCCUUUUCCACCCCAAAAUCCCCUCCAAACCCCCAACCCCCCCAUUUUUCUACCCCAAACCCCCAUUUUCCACCCCAAAAUCCCCCCAACCCCCCCAUUUUCCACCCCAAAACCACCCCAAAAUCCCUUCCAAACCCUCAACCCCCCCAUUUUCCACCCCAAACCCCCCCCAAACCGCCAUUUUCCUACCCCAGAAUCCCCAUUUUCCACCCCAAAACCACCCCAAAAUCCCCUCUAAACCCUCAAACCCCCCAAUUUCCACCCCAAACCCCCAUUUUUCACCCCAAAACCUCCCCCGAACCCCCCAUUUCCCACCCAAAAAUCCCCCAAACCCCAAUUUCUACCACAAAACCCCCCACAACCCACCCAUUUUCCACCCCAAAACCACCCCAAAAUCCCCUCCAAACCCCCAUAGCCCCCAAUUUCCACCCCAAACCCCCCUUUUCCACCCCAAAAUCCCCUCCAAACCCCCAACUCCCCCAUUUUUCUACCCCAAACCCCCAUUUUCCACCCCAAAAUCUCCCCAACCCCCCCAUUUUCCACCCCAAAACCACCCCAAAAUCCCUUCCAAACCCUCAACCCCCCCAUUUUCCACCCCAAAAUCCCCCCCAAACCCCCAACCCCCCCAUUUUUCACCCCAAAACCACCCCAAAAUCCCCUCCAAACCCCCACAGCCCCCAUUUUCCACCCCAAAACCCCCCCAAACCGCCAUUUUCCUACCCCAAAAUCCCCAUUUUCCACCCCAAAACCACCCCAAAAUCCCCUCUAAACCCUCAAACCCCCCAAUUUCCACCCCAAACCCCCAUUUUUCACCCCAAAACCUCCCCCGAACCCCCCAUUUCCCACCCAAAAAUCCCCCAAACCCCAAUUUCUACCCCAAAACCCCCCACAACCCACCCAUUUUCCACCCCAAAACCACCCCAAAAUCCCCUCCAAACCCCCAUACCCCCCAAUUUCCACCCCAAACCCCCAUUUCCCCCCCAAACCCCCCAAAACCCCCCCCCAAAAAGACCCCCACAGCGCUUCAGGCUCUAUUUAUUACUACAGACAGAGGAACACAGCGACCGACAACAGCCAAAAAUGCCCUUUUUUUUCCCCCCCAAAGUCCCCAUUUUUGCCCAUUUUCGCCCUUUUUCACCCCAAUUUUCGGCCCCUCCGUCCUCUUUCCCCCCCCCCCCCCCUCCACCCCAUUCUUUACCAUUUCCCCUCCAUCGCAACGGCCGUUUUUAACCCUUUUUAACCUUUUUUUUUUUACCCCUUUUCGCGCCCCAAACCCACCCAAAAUCGCCGUUUUUUCACCCAAUUUUGGGCCGAAAACCCCUCGUUUGCCAUAUAACCCCAUUGGGGCGGCGUGUGGGGGAGGGGGGGGGAAGAAAACCCCAAACCCCCCCCCACCCCAAAUCCCACUUUUUCAG